rnacentral:lncRNA from 1 species
AUGCCAUGGGAAGGGCUGCCGGCGGUGGCGCUGGGGCAGGCUGCGCCCGGGAGCCCUCGCGGUGUGUGCGGGGGGGGCGCAUCCCUUCGAGCAGGACCGCGACGGUGUGCGAGGGCUUGGAGAAACGCUUUCGUCCUGCCGCCGCCGCCGCAUUGCUCGGUCCCGGGGGCUUUUCUGCACGGCCUCGUGUUCGGCUGGUUUGGGACGUGCCCUCGCAGGGCUGGCUGGCGGGAUCAGCGAGCGGAGAGGCGCGGAGCGCCGCAGGCGUCCCCCAUCCGCCGCUCCCCGGUGUCGCUGGGCCGACGCCRUGGCGAAGAGCGAUUCCUGUUGCGCGGCCACUUUCCAAGGCAGGCAGGACCCUUGCAGGAAGGUGCAAUCUGCAAAUACAAUCCUGCACUGCUCUUGCAGGCCUUAAACCCUCCUCGACGCUUUCCUGUUUGCUCAGAUUUAGGGAGAAAUAUUCCACUGAGCGAGCCAGGGAAAGCUGGAGCAAAGUCUUGCCGCAAUCUUAAAGCAGGAAUCGCAACCAGGUGUCUGGGUUCAGGGUGGAAAGCUGGAGAAGGAGCAGCGCCGGCAGGCUGGUUCCUCUGCUCUCGGGUUUUCCCAGCUGCUCCAGUUCGCAGGUCCCCGUCCCCCGCCAUCGCCGCCUCCCGGUGUGGAGCCACGUGUCCUGGAGGAGCUUCCAGCACGCCUGUUCCCRCGGGAACUCAAAUGCAAACGCUUUCGUUGCAAAGCUGCCUUGCAGCUGAGCGCGUCCUGUGUCCGGGACUAGGGGCGCUCGUGCCGGGUGCCGCCUCGCCGCGGCCAGGGGGAGGCGGUUGCCGCUGCUCGGGGAGGGCGGCGGAGGCCGGGGGAGCCGGUGGCGGGCCGGGCCGGUUUCGGGAAGCGGCUUGGUGCGCUGUGCGGCGGAGCCCCCGCGCGGUGCCGGGGCGGGUGCCGGAGCCCCCGCGCCGCCUCCUCGCGCCGAGGCGCAGCCGAGGGCUUCGGGCGGCGCAUUCCUGCCUCGGAAAACCCACCGUAGCAGCAGAACUGCCGAACAGCCCCGCUCUUCAUGGGGAUUAUUUUAAUCACAAACAUGUCUUGUCUCCUCAGCUGAAUUUCUUUCAUAGACGGCGGAAAGUGAAAUUCGUGCAAUGUCUGUGGGAGGCUGAAGAAAGGGCCUUUGUGCGCCCCGCGCGGGGCGUUGGGCGGCCUCCAGCAGCGCCCUCCGCCGCCCGCGGCUCCCGGCUCGCGUGA